CCUCCCUCUCUCAUUACUUUUUAUUCCACAGGGAUUGAAUGGCAUCAAAUUUAGGAUCCAGAAGGCAUUGCUCUCUCAGAAUACUCCUCUUUCCUCGUUUCUUCUUAUAAAAAUUUGACAGGUGAAGGUUUAAAAGUGUGCUGAUUAAAUAGAAGGUUGAAAGUGCAGAAUUAAGUUGUGAUUCAUCAUAAGCAUAAGCUGAAGUUUUUGAUCUCAAAGAUAUUUUCCUUGAAGAGCCCAGUUCUUUAGCAAGGAAAGAAUUUCUUCCUCAAUCAACAGGAUUCCUUAUUGAAUUGUAGAUAUGCCAAGGUUCAAGCGUUUGCAGAAGAAGCAAAAUUCAGUUCAGUCAGUAUCUCAACCAGUUGCUGAAUCAGGACCUUCUUUUCUUCAAUCAACGCCAUGCCUGCCAACGCAUCCGACCAUGUCAGUUCGGGCAACAACACAUCUGGCCCCAUCAUUUCAGCCUACAUCGCAGGCGACUCCAACACCUCAGCCGGUAUCACAACCGUCUCGAUCAGUUCACUCAAUAUCCCAUCCCGCUCCGAUGGAUCAGACAGCACCACAGCCGGCUUCAGCAGUUCACCCAGCAUCAUAGCCAUCUCGGUCAGUUCACUCGACAUCAAAUUUGGCUUCGACAGAUCAGGACUCACCACAGCCAGCUCUGUCAGUUCACUCGACAUCACAUUUGGCUUCGACAGAUCAGGACUCACCACAGCCAGCUCCAACAGUUCAGGCCGCAUCC